ensembl:lncRNA uncharacterized LOC114842719
GAGGAAGUGUGAUGUCACCAUCUUAGAAGUACCUGGUUAUGAGGCAAUGAUUUCUAUAUCCAGACGUAAUGUAUGGCUGAUGAUGGCUGAGCAUCCUGAGUCUGGUUCAGUUGGAGGCUUGUUAUGUUAAAGAGUGUUUCAUUUCCACUGUGGACUUGUGCUCAAGACCAAUUACCUAUAACUAUGUUUACUGUUCUGUUCAGUAAGAUCCUAACCUAAUUUGGUGCUAUAUAGAUAGAAUCAAAACUAAAUUACAAGUAGUAAUGCUUCACACAUGCAAGCAGAUAUCUAAAAUAUUAAUUAUGUGAAUUUUAAUAAUAUAAAAGAUACACAGGCAAAAACUUCAAAUCCCCUGAUGAGGUCCAUGAUAGCUGAAGAAAAGAUAGGCAAGCUGCACAAAUAGCAGUGAUUGCUCAGUAUAAUAACAUGUGAAUCAUUAUUUCACACGCCCUGUUAGUAUUGCAAUAAUUCUCUACGUUUUUUAAUAUUGCGUACACUAAUUAUAUAGAUUUAUAUAGAUAUAUAAUAGAUUAUUAAAAAUUAUCGUAGUUACUGAGGAGGAUAUGAAUAAAUUAGGUUUUUUGUAAAUCAACACAGUUUUGGUGUCUCUUUCUUCAAUUCAUGUCCUAAAUAAAAUGUAUCAAAUAAACGUUAUAUUUCAAAUAAAGUUAAGAUUUAAAUGAGGUUUCGAAGGGAGAAAUUUGCCGUUUUCUUUAGGCCUCUACUCGAGCAGACGCGUGUCUCGAGGUGCCACGAGGUGGCGCUCUGGUCCGAGACCGAGCACCCAUCGAGAGCAGCGAAGAAGUGCGCACGGCAGGACGCAAACCUGGUUUCUGGUGCUCGCCAGGACCCGGGAGUACCAGCGGAUGGUGGGCGACCGGGACAAAGAGAUCCAGCGGCUGGAGCGUAGGCUGAGGGAGAUCGAGCACGAGCUGCAGGUGCUCCGCCGGCAGGGAUGCACCCGCGGCCACCUGGCCGGGCCACAGACCUGCACAGAGCCGAGCGGGUCCGAACCAGACUGUUUGGACCCGGAGGUGACGGCGGGUCAGCAGGACUGUGAGAUGAGCCUUUCGUUUGGACUUUUUGCGAGGCCUUCGUCACACGUCUCCUCUCAGAGCCACGAGUCAGCUCUUCCAUCAUCCCCCAGCAGAAUGGGGCUGGAUCAGACCUACACUUCCCGCUCCUCUGAGGCCUCAGGUUUGUCAGAGGUGGCCAGGAAUUUGACUACAUCUCCCAGUGGCCUCGUCGUCAAAGAAGAGCCAUAUGAUAUAGACACAGUCAUGAUCAAGUGGGAAAUGAGCGAGAGGAGAUUGGGAGAGCAGCAGGAGAUCAGAGACAGUCCAUGUCACGAUAAAGAAGGUCCCAGCAUAACAAAGAGCAGAGAGAAAACAAAGAUCAAUGAGAAACCUCAAGCGGAGCCUGAAGAUCACCAUGUCGCAGAGGGGGAUAACCUGAGGAAUAGGAAGAAGCCUGUGCCGAUGUCAGAGCUACCGGAGGAGGCCCAGAGACUGAAGAGGGCGGCCUGGAGGGCGGCUUCCAGACGCUAUUAUGCCCGGAAAGUGGCCCGUCAGCAGGCAGACCCUUCACACUCCAGCCCCUUUCCCCACAUCCCAGCUUCUCACUAUUCACCGCCCAUGUCGCUUCUGGAGAGAAGGAGGAGGUCGCUCAUCUCUGAGCUGCCUGAAGAGUCUCAGAUGCUGCAGAGGGAGGCGUGGAGAGCUGCGUCCAAGAGAUACUAUGCCCGAAAAAUCGCUCGCCACCGACCUGAGUACGGACACCUGCUGCAGCACAAAGAGGCAUCAGGGGAAACGCCUAAGACAGGAGGAUCCCACACCAACAGUGGAGGAAUAAUGUGCAGUUGA